rnacentral:tRNA from 1 species
GAUAGUGUGGCUGAAACUAUAGGCGAUAGACUGUAAAUCUAUAUAUGGAGUAUAAUCCCUCUAUCA